CAGCCGCCGCGGUAACACGGAGGAUGCGAGCGUUAUCCGGAUUUAUUGGGUUUAAAGGGUGCGUAGGCGGCCUGUUAAGUCAGCGGUGAAAUCUAGGAGCUUAACUCCUAAAUUGCCAUUGAUACUGGCGGGCUUGAGUGUAGAUGAGGUAGGCGGAAUGCGUGGUGUAGCGGUGGAAUGCAUAGAUAUCACGCAGAACUCCAAUUGCGAAGGCAGCUUACUAAGGUACAACUGACGCUGAAGCACGAAAGCGUGGGUAUCAAACAGGAUUAGAUACCCCUGUAGUCCCUGUCUCUUAUAC
rnacentral:rRNA from 1 species